UAGUGUUAAGGGCAAACCUGUCUAAAGACAGGGACGCAAAGCCAUAGGAUCUAAGGUGCUUAAGCAGCACUAUGAUAGCCUGGUUGCCGCA
rnacentral:ncRNA from 1 species